rnacentral:rRNA from 1 species
AAACGAUUGAAGCCAGUCGUACCUACGGGUAAUCAGCCUUUCGGAAGCGAUUCUGUGGGUUUUGAGGAGCUUCACGGCCCUCAUGGUCUACAUAUUUGUAUCCCUUGGGUGUACUUUCCCGGUGGUUGGUUAACAUCAAUUUCGGUCAUCAUAAAAUG